rnacentral:tRNA from 1 species
ACCAGGAUGGCUGAGUCAUUAUGGUGUUGGACUUAAGAUCCAAAGGACAUGUAUCCACCUGGGUUUGAACCCCCGCUUCUGUUA